rnacentral:rRNA from 1 species
UACGUAGGGUGCAAGCGUUGUCCGGAAUUAUUGGGCGUAAAGAGCUCGUAGGCGGUUUGUCGCGUCUGCUGUGAAAACUCAGGGCUUAACCCUGAGCCUGCAGUGGGUACGGGCAGACUAGAGUGUGGUAGGGGAGAUCGGAAUUCCUGGUGUAGCGGUGGAAUGCGCAGAUAUCAGGAGGAACACCGGUGGCGAAGGCAGGUCUCUGGGCCAUUACUGACACUGAGAAGCGAAAGCAUGGGGAGCGAACAGG